CCUACGGGUGGCAGCAGUGAGGAAUAUUGGUCAAUGGACGAGAGUCUGAACCAGCCAAGUAGCGUGAAGGAUGACUGCCCUAUGGGUUGUAAACUGCUUUUAUAUGGGAAUAAAAUGUUCCACGUGUGGGAUUUUGUAUGUACCAUAUGAAUAAGGAUCGGCUAACUCCGUGCCAGCAGCCGCGGUAAUACGGAGGAUCCGAGCGUUAUCCGGAUUUAUUGGGUUUAAAGGGAGCGUAGGUGGAUUGAUAAGUCAGUUGUGAAAGUUUGCGGCUCAACCGUAAAAUUGCAGUUGAGACUGGCAGUCUUGAGUACAGUAGAGGUGGGCGGAAUUCGUGGUGUAGCGGUGAAAUGCUUAGAUAUCACGAAGAACUCCGAUUGCGAAGGCAGUUCACUGGACUGCAACUGACACUGAGGCUCGAAAGUGUGGGUAUCAAACAGGAUUAGAUACCCCAGUAGUC
rnacentral:rRNA from 1 species